UACGGAGGGUGCAAGCGUUAUCCGGAAUUACUGGGUUUAAAGGGUCCGCAGGCGGGCUGAUAAGUCAGUGGUGAAAUCCUACGGCUCAACCGUAGAACUGCCAUUGAUACUGUUAGUCUUGAGUAAGGUGGAAGUUGGCGGAAUACAGCAUGUAGCGGUGAAAUGCGUAGAUAUGCUGUAGAACACCGAUUGCGAAGGCA
rnacentral:rRNA from 1 species